rnacentral:lncRNA from 1 species
UUUCCUGUGUGCGUGAGCACCAAGCCGGAGCCCGAGGACGAUGCAGAAGAGGGACUUGGGGGUCUUCCCAGCAACAUCAGCUCUGUCAGCUCCUUGCUGCUCUUCAACACCACCGAGAACCUGUCCCAGAGAACUACUUCUAUGUGCCAGACCUGGGCCAGGUGCCUGAGAUUGAUGUUCCAUCCUACCUGCCUGACCUGCCCGGCAUUACCAACGACCUCAUGUACAUUGCUGACCUGGGCCCCGGCAUUGCCCCCUCUGCCCCUGGCAC